AGUAUAUGUAAAAGUGAUAGGGUCUCACUAGCUUGAUAUUGGGCACCUUGUUCCUUAAACCCACUAUUUCUCUGAAAGUGACAAUCACUAAAAAACUUAGAACAUGGAGCACUAGCUAUAGAAUAUAAACUAGAAUUUGUCGACCUCUUCUUAGAUCAUUGCCUACCAUCUCUCACUAUUAUGUUGGCCUCCAUCCUGAUUAGAAUACAUGAACCUCUUGCUUUGCCUUUCCCCUGUUUCAUCUUUUUUCUUCUUUUCAUCUUCAACCUAAUAUAUAUACACCACAA
rnacentral:lncRNA from 1 species